rnacentral:rRNA from 1 species
GACGAACCGUGCGAACGUUGUUCGGAUUCACUGGGCUUAAAGGGCGCGUUAGGCGGGUCGACAAGUCUAUGGUGAAAAGCCCCCCGGCUUUAACCGGGGGAACAGCCGUGGAUACUGUCGGUCUGGAGGGAGGUAGGGGUCGAGGGAACUUCCGGUGGAGCGGUGAAAUGCGUAGAGAUCGGAAGGAACGCCGGUGGCGAAAGCGCUCGACUGGACCUCUUCUGACGCUGAGGCGCGAAAGCCAGGGGAGCAAACGGG